rnacentral:rRNA from 1 species
GCUGACGAGUGGCGGACGGGUGAGUAAUGUCUGGGAAACUGCCUGAUGGAGGGGGAUAACUACUGGAAACGGUAGCUAAUACCGCAUAAUGUCGCAAGACCAAAGAGGGGGACCUUCGGGCCUCUUGCCAUCGGAUGUGCCCAGAUGGGAUUAGCUAGUAGGUGGGGUAACGGCUCACCUAGGCGACGAUCCCUAGCUGGUCUGAGAGGAUGACCAGCCACACUGGAACUGAGACACGGUCCAGACUCCUACGGGAGGCAGCAGUGGGGAAUAUUGCACAAUGGGCGCAAGCCUGAUGCAGCCAUGCCGCGUGUAUGAAGAAGGCCUUCGGGUUGUAAAGUACUUUCAGCGGGGAGGAAGGGAGUAAAGUUAAUACCUUU